CGUCCUGCCUCUACACAACUUUUCAUGGGAUUUGGCAUCUGAUAAUUAAUAAUUCUUUCUGACUUUGCAGGAGCAGUGUCAACCUCUGACCUACUUCACAGAAAGAGGUAAAGCUCUGCACUAAGCAACUCAGGAGACCUAAAAGAAGAGGACACCUGAUCAGGGACCAUCAUCUCCACCAGAUGGGCCAUUAAGAUUAGUGAGACAAGUUGUAGAUACUAUCCCCAUUCAGGAAGUAAAACCAUGAGAAUUCGGAUUCCUCUGAUUAGCAAACAGCUGAUUCACAAAUAAGUGCUGGAGCGACUCAGUCUUCCCAUACAGGUGCAGCAGACAGAAAAACUGAAGCUUCAGGUUGACAGAGAUUUUGUUUCUGCUUUUUCACCCUUACAUUUUGACUCUGCCUCUUAAGAAGAGACUGUUUCUGUAGAUUACAAAUUAACUUUGAUUGAGAACAGCAAGGAAAUCCAUCCAGCCUGAAGCAAGAAGAGCCUUCAGGCAGGUGUUGGUAGGCUUUCUUUAGAAGGCCUCCCUGGAUAUGUAAAGACAGUUCAUUAGUGCUGGUUUGUAUAUCAUUGCUGCUAUCUCGUUGAUAACAUGUUUGUGUCCAAUCUGUUUUU
ensembl:lncRNA